rnacentral:rRNA from 1 species
CUAACAAGGAUUCCCUUAGUAACUGCGAGUGAAGAGGGAAAAGCUCAAAUUUAAAAUCUGGCAGCGCUUCGCUGUCCGAGUUGUAACCUAGAGAAGUGUAACCUGUGCUGGACCGUGUACAAGUCUCCUGGAAUGGAGCAUCAUAGAGGGUGAGAAUCCCGUCUUUGACAUGGACUACCAGUGCAUUGUGGUUGCGCUCUCAACGAGUCGAGUUGUUUGGGAAUGCAGCUCUAAAUGGGUGGUAAAUUCCAUCUAAAGCUAAAUAUUGGCGAGAGACCGAUAGCGAACAAGUACCGUGAGGGAAAGAUGAAAAGAACUUUGGAAAGAGAGUUAAACAGUAUGUGAAAUUGUUGAAAGGGAAACGUUUGAAGUCAGUCGCGUUGGUUGGGGAUCAGCCUGACAUUGUUGGGUGUACUUCCUGGUCGACGGGCCAACAUCAGUUUUGACUGCCAGAAAAAGGCCAGAGGAAUGUGGCACCCUUGGGUGUGUUAUAGCCUUUGGUCGUAUAUGGUGGUUGGGACUGAGGAAAGCAGCGCGCCGAAAGGCCGGGUUUCGACCACGUUCACGCUGAGGAUGUUGGCAUAAUGGCUUUAAGCGACCCGUCUUGAAACACGGACCAAGGAGUCUAACAUGCAUGCGAGUGUUUGGGUGGAAAACCCUUACGCGUAAUGAAAGUGAAAGUUGAGAUCCCUGUCGCGGGGAGCAUCGACGCCCGGACCAGAACUUUUGGGACGGAUCUGCGGUAGAGCACGUAUGUUGGGACCCGAAAGAUGGUGAACUAUGCCUGAAUAGGGUGAAGCCAGAGGAAACUCUGGUGGAGGCUCGUAGCGAUUCUGACGUGCAAAUCGAUCGUCAAAUUUGGGUAUAGGGGCGAAAGACUAAUCG